UACGUAGGGUGCGAGCGUUGUCCGGAAUUAUUGGGCGUAAAGAGCUCGUAGGCGGUCCGUCGCGUCGAAUGUGAAAACCCGGGGCUCAACCCCGGGCUUGCAUUCGAUACGGGCGGACUAGAGUUCGGUAGGGGAGACUGGAAUUCCUGGUGUAGCGGUGAAAUGCGCAGAUAUCAGGAGGAACACCGGUGGCGAAGGCGGGUCUCUGGGCCGAUACUGACGCUGAGACGCGAAAGCGUGGGGAGCGAACAGG
rnacentral:rRNA from 1 species